rnacentral:rRNA from 1 species
AGAGUUUGAUCCUGGCUCAGAACGAACGCUGGUGGUAUGCUUAACACAUGCAAGUCGAACGGGUUUAUUGGGGGCAACUCUGAUAAAUCAGUGGCAAACGGGUGAGUAAUGUAUAGGAAUCUACCUAGCAGUAAGGAAUAACUCUGAGAAAUCAGAGCUAAUGCCAUAUAUUACCGCCAAGAGAAAUCUUGGCGGGAAAGAUUUAUCGCUGUUAGAUGAGCCUGUAUCGGAUUAGCUUGUUGGUGGGGUAAGAGCCUACCAAGGCAAUGAUCCGUAGCUGGUCUGGGAGGAUGAUCAGCCACACUGGAACUGCGACACGGUCCAGACUCCUACGGGAGGCAGCAGUGGGGAAUAUUGGACAAUGGGCGAAAGCCUGAUCCAGCAAUACCACGUGAGUGAUGAAGGCCUUCGGGUUGUAAAACUCUUUUAGUAGGGAAGAUAAUGACAGUACCCACAGAAAAAGCACCGGCUAACUUCGUGCCAGCAGCCGCGGUAAUACGAAGGGUGCUAGCGUUGUUCGGAUUUAUUGGGCGUAAAGCGUGCGUAGGCGGCUUGGCAAGUCAGCNGGGAAGGGAUGAUCNNNNNNCNNNNUGCGNNNGUNCNNNNCUNCGAGCAGCANUNGNNANNUGNCNNNNNCGAAGNCUGAUCAGCANNCACGUGAGUGAUGNNNNNNNNGNUGUAAANUCUUUUAGUAGGNNNAUAUGACAGUACCCACAGAAAAAGCANNGNUACUUCGUGCCAGCAGCCGCGGUAAUACGAAGGGUGCUAGCGUUGUUCGGAUUUAUUGGGCGUAAAGCGUGCGUAGGCGGCUUGGCAAGUCAGCUGUGAAAGCCCAGGGCUCAAACCCUGGAACUGCAGUUGAAACUGCCUGGCUAGAGUAUGGAGCGGGAUAGUGGAAUUCCUAGUGUAGGGGUGAAAUCCGUAGAUAUUAGGAGGAACACCGGUGGCGAAAGCGACUAUCUAUGCCAUAACUGACGCUGUUGCACGAAAGCGUGGGGAGCAAACAGGAUUAGAUACCCUGGUAGUCCACGCAGUAAACGAUGAGUGCUAGUUAUCGGGUCUUUGGGAUUCGGUGGCGAAGCUAACGCGUUAAGCACUCCGCCUGGGGAGUACGGCCGCAAGGCUAAAACUCAAAGGAAUUGACGGGGACCCGCACAAGCAGUGGAGCAUGUGGUUUAAUUCGAUGCUACGCGAAAAACCUUACCAGCUCUUGUAUCCUCACUAUGAUUUUCAGAGAUGAAUUUCUUCAGUUCGGCUGGGUGAGAGACAGGUGUUGCAUGGCUGUCGUCAGCUCGUGUCGUGAGAUGUUAGGUUAAGUCCUUCAACGAGCGCAACCCUCAUCCUUAUUUGCCAACAGGUUAUGCUGGGAACUAUAAGGAAACUGCCAACGACAAGUUGGAGGAAGGUGGGGACGAUGUCAAGUCAUCAUGGCCCUUAUGGGCUGGGCUACACACAUGCUACAAUGGUGGUUACAACGGGACGCGAAAGAGUAAUCUGGAGCCAAUCCCAUCAAAAGCCAUCUCAGUUCAGAUUGAGGGCUGCAACUCGCCCUCAUGAAGUUGGAAUUGCUAGUAAUCGUGGAUCAGCACGCCACGGUGAAUACGUUCUCGGGUCUUGUACACACUGCCCGUCAAGCCAUGGAAGUUGUUUCUACCCGAAUGAAGUGAGCUAACCGCAAGGAGGUAGCUUCACACGGUAGGAAUAGUGACUGGGGUUAAGUCGUAACAAGGUAACC